rnacentral:rRNA from 1 species
CUGAUGGUAGUGUAUUGGACUACCAUGGCGAUGACGGGUGACGGAGAAUUAGGGUUCGAUUCCGGAGAGGGAGCCUGAGAAACGGCUACCACAUCUAAGGAAGGCAGCAGGCGCGCAAAUUACCCAAUCCUAACUCAGGGAGGUAGUGACAAGAAAUAACAACUUGGGAUUUUGUCUCGAGAUUGGAAUGAGUACAAUGUAAAAGCCUUARCGAGGACCAACUGGAGGGCAAGUCUGGUGCCAGCAGCCGCGGUAAYUCCAGCUCCRGUAGCGUAUAUUAAAGUUGUUGCAGUUAAAAAGCUCGUAGUUGAACUUCUGUGGUGUGUCUGGCUUGGCAACAGGMYGGACUAGCCACAUCCACCUGAGGAGCCUGCUCAUAUUAACGUAUGGGUUUGGUGUUCAGGUACUUUACCUUGAGAAAAUUAGAGUGUUCCAGGCAGGCGUCCGCCUGAAUAGUACAGCAUGGAAUAAUAGAAGAGGACUUAGCUCCAGUUGUUGGUGUCUGGCGCCGAGUAAUGAUUAACAGGGAUAGUUGGGGGCAUUCGUAUUUAAUUGUCAGAGGUGAAAUUCUUGGAUUUAUUAAAGACGAACCUAUGCGAAAGCAUUUGCCAAGGAUGUUUUCAUUAAUCAAGAACGAAAGUUAAAGGGAUCAAAGACGAUCAGAUACCGUC